rnacentral:rRNA from 1 species
GAUGAACGCUGGCGGCGUGCCUAAUACAUGCAAGUCGAGCGAACAGACGAGGAGCUUGCUCCUUUGACGUUAGCGGCGGACGGGUGAGUAACACGUGGGUAACCUACCUAUAAGACUGGGAUAACUUCGGGAAACCGGAGCUAAUACCGGAUAAUAUUUCGAACCGCAUGGUUCGAUAGUGAAAGAUGGCUUUGCUAUCACUUAUAGAUGGACCUGCGCCGUAUUAGCUAGUUGGUAAGGUAACGACUUACCAAGGCAACGAUACGUAGCCGACCUGAGAGGGUGAUCGGCCACACUGGAACUGAGACACGGUCCAGACUCCUACGGGAGGCAGCAGUAGGGAAUCUUCCGCAAUGGGCGAAAGCCUGACGGAGCAACGCCGCGUGAGUGAUGAAGGUCUUCGGAUCGUAAAACUCUGUUAUUAGGGAAGAACAAACGUGUAAGUAACUGUGCACGUCUUGACGGUACCUAAUCAGAAAGCCACGGCUAACUACGUG